CGGUUGGGAAAGUCAAAUGCGAAAUCCCGGGGCUCAACCUCGGAACAGCAUUCGAAACUUCCCAUCUAGAGGAUAGGCGGAGAAAUUGGAAUUCCACAAGUAGCGGUGAAAUGCGUAGAUAUGUGGAAGAACACCAGUGGCGAAGGCGAAUUUCUAGCUUAGACCUGACGCUGAGGCGCGAAAGCAAGGGGAGCAAACAGGAUUAGAUACCCUGGUAGUCCUUGCCGUAAACGAUGUAUACUUGGUGUAACUGGACUCAACCCCAGUUGUGCCGAAGCUAACGCGAUAAGUAUACCGCCUGGGGAGUACGCUCGCAAGGGUGAAACUCAAAAGAAUUGACGGGGACCCGCACAAGCAGUGGAGCAUGUGGUUUAAUUCGAUGCAACGCGAAGAACCUUACCCAGACUUGACAUGCAGAAGACAGUGCUAGAGAUAGCAUCUUCCUUCGGGACUUCUGCACAGGUGCUGCAUGGCUGUCGUCAGCUCGUGCCGUGAGGUGUUUGGUUAAGUCCAGCAACGAGCGCAACCCUUAUCAUUAGUUGCCAACAUUUAAGGUGGGAACUCUAAUGAGACUGCCUGGGUUAACCAGGAGGAAGGUGAGGAUGACGUCAAGUCCGCAUGGCCCUUAUGUCUGGGGCUACACACGUGCUACAAUGGUCGGUACAGAAGGCAGCGAAGCCGCGAGGUGGAGCAAAUCCGUAAAGCCGAUCUCAGUUCAGAUUGUAGUCUGCAACUCGACUACAUGAAGACGGA
rnacentral:rRNA from 1 species